AAUACUGCCAUGAGGGAUAGUCAGUUUGGUGCCCGCGGUGAGUAAUACUGCCAUGAGGGAUAGUCAGUUUGGUGCCCGCGGUGAGUAAUACUGCCAUGAGGGAUAGUCAGUUUGGUGCCCGCGGUGAGUAAUACUGCCAUGAGGGAUAGUCAGUUUGGUGCCCGCGGUGAGUAAUACUGCCAUGAGGGAUAGUCAGUUUGGUGCCCGCGGUGAGUAAUACUGCCAUGAGGGAUAGUCAGUUUGGUGCCCGCGGUGAGUAAUACUGCCAUGAGGGAUAGUCAGUUUGGUGCCCGCGUUGAGUAAUACUGCCAUGAGGGAUCGUCAGUUUGGUGCCCGCGGUGAGUAAUACUGCCAUGAGGGAUAGUCAGUUUGGUGCCCGCGGUGAGUAAUACUGCCAUGAGGGAUAGUCAGUUUGGUGCCCGCGGUGAGUAAUACUGCCAUGAGGGAUAGUCAGUUUGGUGCCCGCGGUGAGUAAUACUGCCAUGAGGGAUAGUCAGUUCUCCACAAGCAGAAAGGGGGAAUGAUACAAUCUCUCUUCUGUAUUAGGGGUGUGCCGAGUAGUCGGACAAAACCAGUAUCCUAACGGAUAUGUCCGUUAACCGGUAUCCUAACUGAUAUGUCCGUUAACCGGUAUCCUAACGGAUAUGUCCGUUAACCGGUACCCUAACGGAUAUGUCCGUUAACCGGUACCCUAACGGAUAUGUCCGUUAACCGGUACCCUAACGGAUAUGUCCGUUAACCGGUACCCUAACGGAUAUGUCCGUUAACCGGUAUCCUAACGGAUAUGUCCGUUAACCGGUAUCCUAACAAUUGUCCUGAUAUGAUUACGAUAAGAGUAUUUCUUAUUUUCUGUUAAAAAAUAUUUUUGCGUGCCAGCAAUAUAUUUUUGCGUGCAGCUUUUCUGUGUAUUUUGCCAACAUCUAUCUAGGCAUAUUAAAACACUUUUGUUUUUUCCGAUCAUGAGAAUCAUCCGAUCUAUCAACUGUCAAAUUUACAGAUAAUAUAAUAAAUAUGAGUAUGGCCAGGUCUGUUAGUGGGGUAGCUUUAAACAUGAACACAAGUAGGCUAUCACGAUAAGGCCACAUUUCAGUUUGUUCUGUUUCCCUGGAUAAAGGACUGGAACAGGGUGUGUCACUUUUAAAAACAGACAGCAGUAUGCACCCUGUGAGAAUGUUCUCUCCAUAUUUCACUUCCUCACAUGAUGCCGGAGAAGGCCAUCAGGAGCCCGGGUGCCCGCGGCGAACAGACCGGCCGGACAGCUGUACCUCCGGAUCCCCUGUCAGGAAGCGAGUUGGAGUGGGUAUCUGACCUGCGGAAACGGAGCCAAGGCUCCUUUUCAGGGGACAUCACUGGUCCAUCACAUCACGUCACCUCACAGGGCCCCCCGGCAAUGUUUGGUUACACUCUCUCCCAGAGGCCUGGCGUCACUUGAAUCUCUUCAAUCCAAUGGCUACAGAGAGAAUAGACUCAAGAUCAACUCUUUUCUCCUUUGUUUUGAGAUGAAUCCUCAACCCUCCAACUCUUCCGCUUCGUUGCCGUUUCUGAGCGAGGGACAAUUUCAACCUCUCUCACGGAGUAGAACACCAGAGGCUGAAGCAGCGAUGGCGGCGAGUGACUGUGCUGACUGUGUGGGUGACGCAGCGUGAGUCACUGUCAGCCAGGGUGGGGGGAGAUGAAUAAACAUGCAUGUACACCCAGCUCAUCCCUCACUUCCCCUCUGAAGUCGUCAGCUGCAAAGAGCCACGCUUAUAGUCAAGCUGAGUGUCCCCAGAAAUAGAAUUUCCCAUAAAUAUAUCUUACAUUAUGCUCUCAUGUGUAAGCUCGCCUUGAUGUCAAGUGAGGAGAGUAGUACUGACAGUAGCAGGUUUUCCCUCUACCUUUUACCACAGGAAAGUUUAGUUAAUGAUCCAUUCUAGUAAUUCCAAAGUAAUUUCUCUAUUAUACAACCCUCACUGGCUUGGUGGCAGUUCGUAUCAGCACAGCGACAAGCUCCUUUCAUUUCUACGUAGGGCUAAAAAUACUGUUGAGAAGAUGCCGUGAAACUGCUGUGCCUAGUUUGUUGGCUGAGUGCAGUAUUUCAGUAUUUCCGCUAUUACUUGUAAUAGUCCUGUCUGGCUUCCCAGAACGGCGGCUCAUUGGGGUUUAUCUCCCCAUGAAGUCCCCCAGGGGCUCCUUCUCUCUCUCUAGUGUUGUCAUUGUCACCGUGGGUGGGUGGGCAGCCCGGGCUGGCAGUAAUGCCCUUUAUCAUGCUAAACUAAAUUGGAUUAAAGCUGUGGCUAUGUCUACCCGGCAACGCACUUUUUAAUGAAGGGCAUCUUCUCUGCAUUUGGCAGCGUGAAAUUGUCUUUAUUUAAUCGCUCAGGGAAACAAAUGGGGUCACCGGUUUCUUCAACUUCCUCUUUCAAGGAAAUUCUUUACGGUCCCCAUCAGGCUGGGCUGGGGUUGUUGUCUUGGGAGAAGGAUGAGACGCUGACUAAAGUUGUCUAUUUGGCCAUGAGGCAAUAGCUAUUUCAGUCUUGUCUUGUAACAAAAACUGACACCCUUGUGCUGAAAUAAGUAAGCCUGAUUUCUGACGGCAUUUAAACAUUGAAAUGGGAGCCUCUGCUAGUUGAUUUAUGUGUUGGCUGAUAUUGAAACAGGCGUUGUGGGUGUGUGACUCUUAUGUCCCACCCCUUCUCUAGAUCACCCCCCACCCCACGAGCCAGAGAGCUUGACUGACUGGAAGGAGAGGGUGCUGAUGGGAAGUGGCAAAGGUUCAGCUAUUCCUGCCUCACGCAGUUCCCGAUCCCGUGAACUUUUCAACUCAAAGUCGGAGUAGAGGGAGAGAUGAGAGGCGAGAAAUGACGGGAGGGGGGAGUUUGACUGAGCUGCUCUUUCAAGUGUGGCUUUAUACCGCUGAUCCAGCCCCUCUUCACACCCCCUCCUCUCUUCCCUCAGCCCCACUGCCACCCGCCUCAGCAUGCUGCUGGUGUGUGCCACAGAGCCUUGCUCUCCUGUCAUGUCUACUGGGUAAUAAGGCCCUGAACACUGCCUCCAGCAUAGCCCUGCUGCACUCUGGCUAACCCUGCAGAGCACCUGCACUAACCCCCAGUGGCACCCCUAGUCUAUGUGAUUGGAACCAGGUAGUCUAUGUGAUUGGAACCAGGUAGUCUAUGUGAUUGGAACCAGGUAGUCUAUGUGAUUGGAACCAGGUAGUCUAUGUGAUUGGAACCAGGUAGUCUAUGUGAUUGGAACCAGGUAGCCUAUGUGAUUGUGAUUUGAACCAGGUAGUCUAUGUGAUUGUGAUUGGAACCAGGUAGUCUAUGUGAUUGUGAUUGGAACCAGGUAGCCUAUGUGAUUGUGAUUUGAACCAGGUAGUCUAUGUGAUUGGAACCAGGUAGUCUAUGUGAUUGGAACCAGGUAGUCUAUGUGAUUUGAACCAGGUAGUCUAUGUGAUUGUGAUUGGAACCAGGUAGUCUAUGUGAUUGUGAUUUGAACCAGGUAGUCUAUGUGAUUGUGAUUGGAACCAGGUAGUCUAUGUGAUUGUGAUUGGAACCAGGUAGUCUAUGUGAUUGGAACCAGGUAGUCUAUGUGAUUGGAACCAGGUAGUCUAUGUGAUUGGAACCAGGUAGUCUAUGUGAUUGGAACCAGGUAGUCUAUGUGAUUGGAACCAGGUAGUCUAUGUGAUUGGAACCAGGUCGUCUAUGUGAUUGGAACCAGGUAGUCUAUGUGAUUGUGAUUGGAACCAGGUAGUCUAUGUGAUUGGAACCAGGUAGCCUAUGUGAUUGUGAUUGGAACCAGGUAGUCUAUGUGAUUGGAACCAGGUAGUCUAUGUGAUUGGAACCAGGUAGCCUAUGUGAUUGGAACCAGGUAGCCUAUGUGAUUGUAACCAGGUAGUCUAUGUGAUUGGAACCAGGUAGUCUAUGUGAUUGGAACCAGGUAGCCUAUGUGAUUGGAACCAGGUAGUCUAUGUGAUUGGAACCAGGUAGUCUAUGUGAUUGGAACCAGGUAGCCUAUGUGAUUGGAACCAGGUAGUCUAUGUGAUUGGAACCAGGUAGUCUAUGUGAUUGGAACCAGGUAGCCUAUGUGAUUGGAACCAGGUAGUCUAUGUGAUUGGAACCAGGUAGUCUAUGUGAUUGUGAUUGGAUCCAGGUAGUCUAUGUGAUUGGAACCAGGUAGUCUAUGUGAUUGUGAUUGGAACCAGGUAGUCUAUGUGAUUGGAACCAGGUAGUCUAUGUGAUUGUGAUUGGAACCAGGUAGUCUAUGUGAUUGUGAUUGGAACCAGGUAGUCUAUGUGAUUGUGAUUGGAACCAGGUAGUCUAUGUGAUUGGAACCAGGUAGUCUAUGUGAUUGGAACCAGGUAGUCUAUGUGAUUGGAACCAGGUAGUCUAUGUGAUUGGAACCAGGUAGUCUAUGUGAUUGGAACCAGGUAGUCUAUGUGAUUGUGAUUGGAACCAGGUAGUCUA